UGCCCAUAUACAAAUAAAGUGUCAGACCAGGCUCUGCUUGAGAUUUGGAAGUGUGCAUAAUUCCUCUAGGGUUUCUAAUCCGUACUUUCCAACCCACUUGAAAAAAUCCCUUCCCAGCCUCCUAGCUGCUAGGAGGUGAACACCAGUUUCCUGCACAUGACUCAGCCUUUUCCAAAGCUACUCUCCAGUGCGGACCACAGAGGAAGGAAAGUUUUAGACAGCGUGACUAUUGGGUCGAUUUCUGUGCCUCGUGUCAUCUGUGUUAAAGCCACAGACUUCCAUAAGGACCAUGUGUAGGUCCAGAAGACAUCAAAAGGUGCAGAUCCCUCAGCCUGCUGGCAUAGAUCCUUCAUCCUAGAGGCGCAGACUGUCUAGCUUCUCAAUAUGGACUUACAUGAGACACUGUCAUGAGCUCUAGACCUCCAGCUGGACUGGUGGGAGACAUUGUGAUGGGCUCUAGGUCUUCAGCUGGACUCAUGUAGGACAUUGCCAUGGGAUCCAAGCCCUCGGCUGAAUUCUCAGGGUCUCUACCCUGAUUACAGCACAAGGUCAUCUGAACCUGCCUCCCCGUUAGCUGGCAGAAGCUCCAUUUUCACCCCGAGGAUCAUCCGUGUCACCCUACUGUUUGUUGAGGUGCUUUGUAUUGGAAUUGAAAAGGAAUCAAAGUGCUAACAUGGGCACAAGCUGAUAGCAUCAAGCCGCUGGAGAAGCAAGAAAGGUGGAUGUAGAAAAAAUAAUAAAAAUAAACUGAAUAAAAUAUCAGUUGAAAGCA